rnacentral:rRNA from 1 species
UACGUAGGGGGCAAGCGUUGUCCGGAAUCAUUGGGCGUAAAGCGCACGUAGGCGGCUUUCUAAGUCAGGGGUGAAAUCCUGGAACUCAACUCCAGAACUGCCUUUGAUACUGGAGAGCUAGAGUCCGGAAGAGGUGAGUGGAACUGCGAGUGUAGAGGUGAAAUUCGUAGAUAUUCGCAAGAACACCAGUGGCGAAGGCGGCUCACUGGUCCGGUACUGACGCUGAGGUGCGAAAGCGUGGGGAGCAAACAGG